GGGCUCACCUUGGCAGUACAUGCUCUAAACUCAGAACGAUGUGGAGAAGAUCAGCGUGGUCCCUGUGCGAGGGAGACACGCACAUCCGUGAAGCAUUCCAUGCUUUU